AAAUGGCGGUGGCUUUCGCAGCCAUAGUUGUUGUCUUCUCCACUAAUGUGGCUUCAGUUCAGGCUGAUCAUCCUUACUUGUACUCCUCACCCCCUCCUCCUUAUGUCUACAGCUCCCCACCGCCCCCUGUUCACUCUCCUCCACCUCCUUAUGUCUACAAGUCACCUCCCCCACCAUCGCCUUCACCACCUCCUCCUUACGUCUACAAGUCACCUCCCCCACCAUCGCCUUCUCCUCCACCACCGUACGUCUACAAGUCUCCUCCACCUCCCUCACCUAAAUUGCCUCCGUACGAGUACAAGUCACCACCACCUCCAUCACCUUCUCCCCCACCACCAUAUGUCUACAAAUCACCACCUCCACCAUCACCUUCUCCUCCACCGCCUUACUACUACAAGUCUCCUCCACCUCCGGUACAUUCUCCACCACCACCAUACUACUACAAAUCUCCUCCACCUCCUGUACAUUCACCACCACCACCUUACUACUACAAAUCUCCUCCACCCCCAGUACAUUCUCCCCCACCACCUUACUAUUACAAAUCUCCUCCACCCCCAGUACAUUCUCCACCACCACCUUACUACUAUAAGUCUCCUCCUCCUCCUUCUCCCUCACCACCACCACCAUACUACUACAAAUCCCCUCCUCCACCUUCCCCAACUCCUCAUGCACCAUACUACUACAAGUCUCCUCCACCGCCGUCACCAAAACCUUACAUGUACAAGUCUCCUCCACCACCAUCCCCAAAACCUUACAUGUAUAAGUCUCCUCCACCACCAUCACCAAAGCCUUACAUGUAUAAGUCUCCUCCACCACCAUCCCCAAAGCCUUACGUGUACAAGUCUCCCCCGCCACCGUCACCAAAGCCGUACGUCUACAAGUCUCCACCACCACCCUCUCCCAAACCGUACGUGUACAAGUCUCCACCACCACCAUCGCCAAAGCCUUACUACUACCAGUCUCCUCCUCCACCGGCUCCUUACUAUCCUCACCCAUACCCACACCCACACCACCACCCAUUGAUCGUCAAGGUCGUCGGAAAGGUCUACUGCUACAGAUGCUACGACUGGGGAUAUCCAAUCAAGUCCCACGACAAGAAACACCUCAAAGGUAAUUAAUUCCGUAACAUACAUUCUCUUGAUUAGUUAUUGUAUUGGUUUUGCUGCUGCUGUUCUUCAUUUUCUAAGAAAGAGAUGUUUUUUCAUAUCCGAUCUGGCCACUGUGCCUUGUUCUUCUUUACAAAAUAAUUAUAAUUUCAUGGCGGCUUAAUCAAUCAAACCCAUGUUCCAUACAUAUGCAAAAUAUUAAUUUUCUUGUAGUGCUGAAUGUGUUGUAUUUGCUAUANNNNNNNNNNNNNNNNNNNNUCUAUAUAUAUAUAUAUAUAUAUUUUUUUUUAAUAUGUAUUCCAAUUCCAAUAAAAUUCCUUUUAGCUAGCUGUCCAAUGUCCAUCUCCAAAAAGAAAAGCAUCUUGUCCUUUUCAGUUUUAAGGAUUUGGAAAAUUCAGUGACUUUGAUCAUAGAAGUGAUAGCAAGAAUCAAUUAGUUAGUGAUUAAGGUAAUAUUAAUUAGUUAGAUUGGUCUGAAAAUGAUUGUUAUUAUUUUAAAUGAAAUGAUCUAAUAUUUAACUGUAAAUGGAACAGGUGCUGUUGUUGAGAUCACAUGCUGGGCAGGCAAGAAGGAGGUCAAGGCCUACGGUAAAACAAAGAACAAUGGUAAAUUCAGCAUCGCAGUCGAAGACUUUGACUACGGUAAAUAUGGUGCCAAGGCAUGUACCGCGAAGCUCCACAUGGCACCCGAGGGUUCCUUGUGCAGCAUUCCAACUCCGCUCAAUUGGGGCAACAAGGGUGCCAAGCUGAAGGUCAAGUCCAAGAACAAGUGGGAGGUUGUGCUCAAGGCCAAGCCAUUUGCUUUUGCUCCCAAGACUGCUUACAAGGAGUGUGCCAAGCACGCGCCACACCAUCCUUCUCCCUACGUCUACAAGUCGCCGCCUCCGCCAACCCCGACUUACGUCUACAAGUCUCCUCCUCCACCAACUCCGACUUACGUCUACAAGUCUCCUCCUCCACCGUCGCCUAAGUACGUUUACAAGUCACCGCCAUCACCGGCCUACUACUACAAGUCACCACCACCGCCAUCUCCAAAGCCGUACGUGUACAAGUCACCACCACCGCCAUCUCCAAAGCCGUACGUGUACAAGUCUCCACCACCACCAUCNNN
rnacentral:lncRNA from 1 species